rnacentral:rRNA from 1 species
UACGUAGGGUGCAAGCGUUGUCCGGAAUUAUUGGGCGUAAAGAGCUCGUAGGCGGUUCGGUAAGUCGGGUGUGAAACCUCCAGGCUCAACCUGGAGUCGCCACUCGAUACUGCUGUGACUAGAGUCCGGUAGGGGAGCGUGGAAUUCCUGGUGUAGCGGUGAAAUGCGCAGAUAUCAGGAGGAACACCAGCGGCGAAGGCGGCGCUCUGGGCCGGAACUGACGCUGAGGAGCGAAAGCGUGGGGAGCAAACAGG